rnacentral:lncRNA from 1 species
GGCAACUAUUACAUACAAAUCCCGGUAUGCAGGUUGAAAAUCAUGUGUAAGUUAUAUGUUUACAUUGUAUGAAUGGCUACAAGCUACUCAUGGACUUCGUCAUUGUACAUUACUGUGCACCUGAUUAUCAGCUUGAUUUCACCAAACAACAAUAUGACGUCUAAGCAUCCAGGCUAAAAAUAAAGCGUAUGUUCUAAAUAACUCAGGUACGGACCUGCGAAUUCGCGGGUAUGCUCUAGUCUCGAUAACGACCUUCAUAACCUAUCAAUAUUUUAAGCUUAUUUUGACUCCUUAUUAAUGCUCUUUCGACUUAAUGUAUCAUUCUUGAAAUUGAAGAUUUUAAAAAAAAAUCAACUAG